rnacentral:RNase_P_RNA from 2 species
AAAGCAGGUCGUUCUAUCGCCCAGAUUAUAUCGGGGAGGAAAGUCCGGACAGCGCUGGGUAACACACUUCCUAACAGGAAGAUAUCCGUGAGGGUAUAGUAAUGGAACAGAAAAUAACCGCCCCGAUUCGUCGAGGUAAGGGUGAAAAGGUGAGGUAAGAGCUUACCGGUACAGAUGGCAACAUUUGUAGCCGUGCAACUUGUGUGCUGCAAGACCAUGUAUACCGGCAGUUGAGGAUGACCCGUCCGAUGCCGGGGGGUAGGUCGCAUAAGGUAACAGGCAACUGUUAUCUCAGAUAAAUGAUAGAAUUUACGGCUCACCGUAAAAACAGAAUCCGGCUUAUAGACCUGCUUUUUUU